UACGGAGGGGGCUAGCGUUGUUCGGAAUUACUGGGCGUAAAGCGCACGUAGGCGGCUUGGUAAGUUAGAGGUGAAAGCCUGGAGCUCAACUCCAGAAUUGCCUUUAAGACUGCCGAGCUAGCAGGUGAGAGAGGUGAGUGGAGUUCCGAGUGUAGAGGUGAAAUUCGUAGAUAUUCGGAAGAACACCAGUGGCGAAGGCGGCUCACUGGCUCAUACUGGACGCUGAGGUGCGAAAGCGUGGGGAGCAAACAGG
rnacentral:rRNA from 1 species